AUAGGAUUUAUUAGAGAAUUAGCAAAGUACUAUUUAAGGCCAGAAACUCAGGAUGCAGUUUCUCAUAAGACCAGCUUCUUCUUGCUCUCUUCCAUUAGACCCUCCUGGAUGUCUUCUCCUUCUGGGUCCUGCUCUGGGUGUCCUGUGCAUGACUCUCAGGCAUUUCUAGAAGAUGAGAACUUACAAGCUGAAAAGAAUGGCCAUAUCUGUAAUAUCACUUGGAAGACUGGACCCCUGAUUGGGUUGUGAUGUGAAUGAGAAAUGCAUCUUUAUAGUUUUAGGAUGUUAAAACUUGGGGAUGGUUGUUACAACAGCUAAUAAAAUUAAUAUAUUUAUCGUC